rnacentral:rRNA from 1 species
GACGAACGCUGGCGGCGUGCUUAACACAUGCAAGUCGAACGGAAAGGCCCUGCUUUUGUGGGGUGCUCGAGUGGCGAACGGGUGAGUAACACGUGAGUAACCUGCCCUUGACUUUGGGAUAACUUCAGGAAACUGGGGCUAAUACCGGAUAGGAGCUCCUGCUGCAUGGUGGGGGUUGGAAAGUUUCGGCGGUUGGGGAUGGACUCGCGGCUUAUCAGCUUGUUGGUGGGGUAGUGGCUUACCAAGGCUUUGACGGGUAGCCGGCCUGAGAGGGUGACCGGCCACAUUGGGACUGAGAUACGGCCCAGACUCCUACGGGAGGCAGCAGUGGGGAAUAUUGCACAAUGGGCGGAAGCCUGAUGCAGCAACGCCGCGUGCGGGAUGACGGCCUUCUGGUUGUAAACCGCUUUCGCCUGUGACGAAGCGUGAGUGACGGUAAUGGGUAAAGAAGCACCGGCUAACUACGUG